CGACACCUUGGGAAGGCAAUGUACGGCAGUAGGAGGGGCGAGAAAGGAGGAGAAAAAGAAUAGGAGCAAGAGCAAGUUUCAAAAGUGGCUCAACCGAAACCCAAAGAGGUUAAACAACUUGCCAAAGUCACGCAAGAAGAAAGUGAAAGUGUCAAAAUUCGAAUCCAGGUCUCUAACUCAAAAGCAUAUCCCAUAGCCAGGAGGCUUCUGAGAUACUGGUAAUGUUUUAUAUUUUCAUCUGGGUGGUGGUGACUUUUUAUUUUUUUGCAGUUUUUACCUUUGUAAAAAUUAAGCUACACACUUAAGUUUUGUGAACUUUACAGUAUGUAUGUUAUAAUUCAAUAAAAAGUUUUUAAAUACCUAAA